GAUGAACGCUAGCGGCAGGCUUAACACAUGCAAGUCGAGGGGUAGAGGUUGCUUGCAACCUUGAGACCGGCGCACGGGUGCGUAACGCACAUGCAACUUACCUUUUACAGAGGGAUAGCCCAGAGAAAUUUGGAUUAAUACCUCAUAGUAUAUAACCUUCGCAUGUUGGUUAUAUUAAAGUUCCAACGGUAAAAGAUGGGCAUGCGUCCUAUUAGCUAGAUGGUAAGGUAACGGCUUACCAUGGCAACGAUAGGUAGGGGUCCCGAGAGGGAGAUCCCCCACACUGGUACUGAGACACGGACCAGACUCCUACGGGAGGCAGCAGUGAGGAAUAUUGGACAAUGGGCGCAAGCCUGAUCCAGCCAUGCCGCGUGCAGGAAGAAGCAUCUAUGGUGUGUAAACUGCUUUUGUACAGGAAGAAACACCCCGACGUGUUGGGACUUGACGGUACUGUAAGAAUAAGGAUCGGCUAACUCCGUGCCAGCAGCCGCAGUAACAC
rnacentral:rRNA from 1 species